rnacentral:rRNA from 1 species
CCUACGGGAGGCAGCAGUGGGGGAUAUUGCACAAUGGGGGGAACCCUGAUGCAGCGACGCCGCGUGGGUGAAGAAGCGCCUCGGCGCGUAAAGCCCUGUCAGCAGGGAAGAAAAUGACGGUACCUGAAGAAGAAGCCCCGGCUAACUACGUGCCAGCAGCCGCGGUUAUACGUAGGGGGCAAGCGUUAUCCGGAUUUACUGGGUGUAAAGGGGGCGCAGACGGCGAUGCAAGCCAGGAGUGAAAGCCCGGGGCCCAACCCCGGGACUGCUCUUGGAACUGCGUGGCUGGAGUGCAGGAGGGGCAGGCGGAAUUCCUGGUGUAGCGGUGAAAUGCGUAGAUAUCAGGAGGAACACCGGUGGCGAAGGCGGCCUGCUGGACGGCAACUGACGUUGAGGCCCGAAAGCGUGGGGAGCAAACAGGAGUAGAUACCCGAGUAGUC